UCGCUGCCUGAAAAGAAAUAAGUUACAA
rnacentral:sRNA from 1 species